UUUACCGUGAAAAAAUUAGAGUGUUCAAAGCAGGCAGAUCCAAUUUUCUGCCACCGAAUACAUUAGCAUGGGAUAAUGGAAUAGGACCCUGUCCUCCUAUUUUCAGUUGGUUUUGGCAGCGCGAGGACUAGGGUAAUGAUUAAUAGGGAUAGUUGGGGGCAUUAAUAUUUAAUUGUCAGAGGUGAAAUUCUUGGAUUUAUGAAAGAUUAACUUCUGCGAAAGCAUCUGCCAAGGAUGUUUUCAUUAAUCAAGAACGAAAGUUAGGGGAUCGAAGACGAUCAGAUACCGUCGUAGUCUUAACCAUAAACGAUGCCGACCAGCGAUUAGGAGACGUUGAAUACAAAACACCACCAUCGGUUGCGGUCGUCCUUGGCGUCUCGGUUUCGGCCGGGGCGCGGGGAUGGCUUAGCCCGGUGGCACCGGUGAAUGACUCCCUAG
rnacentral:rRNA from 1 species